UACAGAGGUCCCAAGCGUUGUUCGGAAUUACUGGGCGUAAAGGGCGCGUAGGCGGCCUUCUACGUCGAACGUGAAAUCCCCGGGCUCAACCCGGGAACUGCGUCCGAUACUGGAAGGCUUGAAUCCGGGAGAGGGAUGCGGAAUUCCAGGUGUAGCGGUGAAAUGCGUAGAUAUCUGGAGGAACACCGGUGGCGAAGGCGGCAUCCUGGACCGGCAUUGACGCUGAGGCGCGAAAGCCAGGGGAGCAAACGGG
rnacentral:rRNA from 1 species